rnacentral:rRNA from 1 species
ACGCUAGCGGCAGGCCUAACACAUGCAAGUCGAGGGAGGAGCUUUCGGGCUUCGACCGGCGUACGGGUGCGUAACGCGUAUACAAUCUGCCUUUCACAUAGGGAUAGCCCGAAGAAAUUUGGAUUAAUACCUAAUGGUAUAUAGGAGUGGCAUCAUUUUUAUAUUAAAGCUGAGGCGGUGAAAGAUGAGUAUGCGUUCUAUUAGCUAGUUGGAGAGGUAACGGCUCCCCAAGGCGACGAUAGAUAGGGGUUCUGAGAGGGAUAUCCCCCACACUGGUACUGAGAUACGGACCAGACUCCUACGGGAGGCAGCAGUGAGGAAUAUUGGACAAUGGUCGGAAGACUGAUCCAGCCAUGCCGCGUGCAGGAAGACGGCCUUAUGGGUUGUAAACUGCUUUUGCAGGGGAAGAAUAAGGAGUACGUGUACUUUGAUGACGGUACUCUGCGAAUAAGCAUCGGCUAACUCCGUGCCAGCAGCCGCGGUAAUACGGAGGAUGCGAGCGUUAUCCGGAAUCAUUGGGUUUAAAGGGUCCGUAGGCGGGCUAAUAAGUCAGAGGUGAAAGCGCUCAGCUCAACUGAGCAACUGCCUUUGAAACUGUUAGUCUUGAAUGGUUGUGAAGUAGUUGGAAUGCGUAGUGUAGCGGUGAAAUGCUUAGAUAUUACACAGAACACCGAUAGCGAAGGCAUAUUACUAACAAUUAAUUGACGCUGAUGGACGAAAGCGUGGGGAGCGAACAGGAUUAGAUACCCUGGUAGUCCACGCUGUAAACGAUGGAUACUAGCUGUUUGGUUGCAAGACUGAGUGGCUAAGCGAAAGUGAUAAGUAUCCCACCUGGGGAGUACGCACGCAAGUGUGAAACUCAAAGGAAUUGACGGGGGCCCGCACAAGCGGUGGAGCAUGUGGUUUAAUUCGAUGAU